GGUGUGUGUGUGCUGGAUGAUGGGUGUGUGUGUGCUGGAUGAUGGGUGUGUGAGUGCUGGAUGAUGGGUGUGUGAGUGAUGGAUGAUGGGUGUGUGUGUGCUGGAUGAUGGGUGUGUGUGUGCUGGAUGAUGGGUGUGUGAGUGAUGGAUGAUUUGUGUGUGUGUGCUGGAUGAUGGGUGUGUGAGUGAUGGAUGAUGUGUGUGUGUGUGCUGGAUGAUGUGUG